UUGAACGCUGGCGGCAUGCCUUACACAUGCAAGUCGAACGGUAACAGGUCUUCGGAUGCUGACGAGUGGCGAACGGGUGAGUAAUACAUCGGAACGUGCCCGAUCGUGGGGGAUAACGAGGCGAAAGCUUUGCUAAUACCGCAUACGAUCUACGGAUGAAAGCGGGGGAUCUUCGGACCUCGCGCGGACGGAGCGGCCGAUGGCAGAUUAGGUAGUUGGUGGGAUAAAAGCUUACCAAGCCGACGAUCUGUAGCUGGUCUGAGAGGAUGAUCAGCCACACUGGGACUGAGACACGGCCCAGACUCCUACGGGAGGCAGCAGUGGGGAAUUUUGGACAAUGGGCGAAAGCCUGAUCCAGCCAUGCCGCGUGCAGGAUGAAGGCCUUCGGGUUGUAAACUGCUUUUGUACGGAACGAAAAGCCUCUUUCUAAUAAAGAGGGGUCAUGACGGUACCGUAAGAAUAAGCACCGGCUAACUACGU
rnacentral:rRNA from 1 species